UCUCACGGAAUCUGCUCGUCUCGCGUUUUCCUCCCCUCCACCUGCUGCCUCGAGAGACAACCUACUCCAGCGACCACGCACGAGGCGGGAGUCGCCGGCGGCCCGAGCAGUUCAGUUUGGAAUUCUGCUUCUGCCGAAAGCGACGUCACUAUCGGCGCAUCACGGCUAUCCACUCCGCCCUGAUCCCGUUUGCAAAGAAAGAAUAGUCUUCUAAGAGAAUGCUUCACCUCAGAUAAGUUUUUUCACUGUCAUCAUGAUUCUAAAAAGGUUGUCAAAUAAUGCUUCCACUUCAUACUUCUGACAGUUUAUACAGGAUAAUUUUAAGUUGAUUCGUUAAUGCACUGGGCCUAAAAUAUGACAGUUUUCUAGCUCAAUUUGGCAUCUGAAUCACCUUGGGCCCUUAACUAGCAAUGCAGCUGCCCAUUCUGCAAAACCGCGGCCUACGCUGUCGAAUACCGUGGUGCUAGAACCUUGAGUGAGAAGAAACUUCAACGAGAAGUAAGCUUUCAGCCCAGAGAUUCUGAUCAAGAUGCAGCAACAUAUUACCUGAUAUUCUGCCAGUGGGCACUAGUAGAGUAGAGUGAGGAUUUAGUGCAGAAGUGUAGAAUGAUUCUGUAGCCGGCUCUGAAGAUAAAGAUAAAGUCGUCAUGCCUAAAUUAUAUUUGUGGCCGCAAAGAACUCCACGUUAGCGUCCAGUCAUCAUGCAGGCGCCGUUGCUUUGAUUCCGUGCGGUACACCUUGCCUGGUGCAAAAUCCCAACCUGUAAAUAUUUUAUGUUUAUCAUUUCUGCUUUGUUAAGCUUGGCAGGUGUGCGCUCACUUUCAAGUCUUAACUACUGUUGAAGUUACAGAAUGUGACAGUAUCAAAUGUAUUCUUCAGCCCAGAUGAAAACGUUUCAGGAUUCUUCGGAUGAGGUGCAAACCUAGAUGCCUUUCAUUGGUUAGACCUUACGAUUGCAGAACAUUCAAGUGCAUGGUCUGAAAAAGGAUGCAGUUUAUCUGAACUGUUCAUGAAGGGCAUCCAUUUCCAUUUUCCCGCGAUGUAUUUUCAUACCAAAGCCGGCGGUAACCCAGUCUAGAAAAUCCCAACGUAGGGAGGAGGCAGGAAGAUUGCUAGAAUUUUGUCUCGGACAAAUAAGUACAUGAUAUGUUGCUGUGGAUUCUCAUGAUCUGCUUGGUCCAAAUUUGAAACUGUC